AAGGUCUAACCUGCCCAAUGAGGAUUUAAAUGGCCGCAGUAUUUUGACUGUGCAAAGGUAGCAUAAUUAUUAGUUUUUUAAUUGAAAGCUUGUAUGAAAGGUUGGACGAGAUAAAAACUGUCUUUACUUGAAUUAAACUAGAAUUUAACUUUUAAGUCAAAAGGCUUAAAUGUUUAUAAAAGACGAGAAGACCCUAUAGAUCUUUAUUUAAUUGAAAUUUUAAUAAUUUAGGAUUAUUUUAAUUUAAAAUUUUAAUUUAAUUUUAUUGGGGUAAUAUAAAGAUUAAAUAAAUUCUUUUUAUUUAUAACAUUAAUUUAUGAAUAUGUGAUCCAAUAUUGUUGAUUAUAAGAUUAAGUUACCUUAGGGAUAACAGCGUAAUUUUUUUGGAGAGCUCAUAUCGAUAAAAAAGUUUGCGACCUCGAUGUUGGAUUAAAAAUUAGCUUGGGUGCAGAAGCUCAAGAGUUUGGUCUGUUCGACCAUUAAAUUUUUACAUGAUCUGAGUUCAGACCGGCGUAAGCCAGGUCGGUUUCUAUCUUUAUUUAAUUAAAAUAUUUUAGUACGAAAGGACCAAAUAUUUAAUAUAUUUAUAUUUUAUUUUUGAAUAAUAUUAUUACUUUGGCAGAAUAGUGCAAUGAAUUUAGAAUUCAUAAAUGUAAUUAUAUUACAAGUAAUACUUGUAUUUAGGAGAUUUAUUGUUAAUACUAUUAUGUAUAUUAAUUCUUGUAAUUUGUGUGUUAGUAGGAGUAGCAUUUUUAACUUUACUAGAACGAAAGGUAUUGGGUUACAUUCAAAUUCGCAAGGGCCCAAAUAAAGUUGGUUUUAUAGG
rnacentral:rRNA from 1 species